GCCAACUCCUGUGAGCACUGAACUGAAAGAAGGCUAAGAAAUCUUUUGUAUUGACUUGCACAAAGUAAACGGAAGUUUUGAAUAUAUGAUUGCGGAAUGAAGUCGAGCAAUGCUGCUAAGAAGAAACAUUACUGGAAGACAUUUAUUCUCUGUGUCGCCUGUGAUGGCAGGAGAAAAGCAGUUUGGCAGAAAAGCAGGCUUUGACUUAACAAAAAUCGUAGCAUCAAUUUAAUGACUACGCUUUCAGAACAAAACAUUUUAGAACAACACAAUAAAUCGAAUAGCUGGCCAUCUGGUAAAUGUGUAAGGUAUAACAAUUUGUUGACUUCAUAA